rnacentral:rRNA from 1 species
GAUGAACGCUAGCUACAGGCUUAACACAUGCAAGUCGAGGGGCAGCACAGUGUAGCAAUACAUGGGUGGCGACCGGCGCACGGGUGCGUAACGCGUAUCCAACCUUCCCGUUACUCAGGGAUAGCCUUCCGAAAGGGAGAUUAAUACCUGAUGGUAUCAGAAUUUCGCAUGUUAUUCUGAUUAAAGAUUUAUCGGUAACGGAUGGGGAUGCGUGACAUUAGAUAGUAGGCGGGGUAACGGCCCACCUAGUCUACGAUGUCUAGGGGUUCUGAGAGGAAGGUCCCCCANACUGGAACUGAGACACGGUCCAGACUCCUACGGGAGGCAGCAGUGAGGAAUAUUGGUCAAUGGGCGCAAGCCUGAACCAGCCAAGUAGCGUGAAGGAGACUGCCCUAUGGGUUGUAAAACUUCUUUUUAUACGGGAACAAACCCCCGGUACGUGUACCGGAUUGCGUGUACCGUAUGAAUAAGCAUCGGCUAACUCCGUGCCAGCAG